ACAUACCUACUUUUAUCUACCGAAUAUUUGAACCCUCAACUUUCUAUAUUUUAAAAAAAAAAAAACAAAAAAAUAUGAACAAACUCAAAUUGAACUUUUGAUUGAGCUAAACAACUCGUUCAUUCUGCAGCACUGCAUGGGAGGGUUUCUUUUUAAAUAUAAGGAGAUAUUUAUGUAAAUUCGCCAAACAAUGGGAGAGCUCAAUAAUAAUAUCUACCCAUCUAUUUUUAAAUGUUUUCACUCAUAUGGAUGAUGUUUAACUAUGUUUUAGAAAUAAACAGACAACGUGCACGGUAAAGAUUAUGCUUCGCUAACUGAUGGCACCAUCUUAUGAGAACCGUCCGUCAGAUCUCGCCGUUGUCCUCAUCAGUCAUCACAAUGGCCGUACAUUCUCGCCGGAAAGUUGACAUAUAUCCAUCCAAUCGAACAUCGAACGGUCGUUGAAGUAUUUUGUGAAAAAAAGAAGCUCCGCAUGUUUGGCUUACUAUGACGGACUGUUUAACUAAAUUGUUAUAAAAUUUUUACUAAACUAUCAUAGUGCAUUCUUGAUGUCCACAAAUCCAUUUUGAGGGUCCGAGUGAAUUCCAUUAUUUAUACUUUUAUGGGGACGGAAGUGGAAGGAAUCAGAUUGCUGAGUAAAUAAAUAGAACCAGAGACAUGGUACGUUUCGAACCCCUUCGUUGAAAAUUUAGUUUUGCAUAUAAGAUGAGAAUUUGUUUUUUAAGUAACUGCAUGUAUUUUAAGUAUAAUGUAUCAUACAUUAUUUAUAUUCUUCAUGUUGGUGUUUCUUGUCAUAAAUUUUGCACGUGAAGAUUCUAUAGUACUGCUGAAUUUCGAAUCACCUGUGGGCAUGGGGUGCAUAGCCCAAUUAACAAAGUGUGACGUUGGAACCUUUUUUUUUUGGGUUGCCAACUCCUUUAUUGGAACAAAAUUUAUGAAACAGACUGAUGUGGAUUUUUAUAUUUGUCAUCUUAUUAGUAUGUUCUUUUGUAUAUAUAUUUUUCCUCCUUUCUAUUGUCACUUGACCAGACCUAUGGAAUAUUUUUUUCCCUAAGACCUAUGGGAUAUGACUCAUUGCUAAUACAUAUUACGGUGCUAAUAAAGGCUCUGAAUCAUAUGAAAGUAUCUAUGCGUGUACUGUCAGAAAAACCUUAGAUUAUUGGUGUGACACCAUUGCAGCCAAGACUUGGAUGCUACUUGCUAUGUCAUAUUGGCGGGGAGUAUGUGUGCUUUCUUCCGUGGCUUCGUCUUAUUUCCUUAAGUUGGGGCCACACCUCUGCUUCUUGCAAGAAAACUGAGUUGCCCUAGUUAGCUGUUAAUUGGAAACGCAAGAUUGCCCUUGUACUCAACUUUGUUUUUCUUUUUCAUUCGAUUGAUCCUCACUUUCUUUAUGCUGAUUAUUGACCACGGUUGACUUGUCAAAGCCAUAGUAGCACGCACUGACAUUUCAUUUACAUUACAUUUGGUAGGAGGGAAGGAAGGAGGGAAGGAUUGAUGGAGCGAGUCUCCAUUUUUUGGUACAAAAGAAAAUUGGAGGGAGGGUAAGGAUGGACAGAUGAGACAUUCCUCUUCGCACUAUUCUCAUCCCUCCAUAAUUGGAUCGAAGAGAGGAGAGAAGAGAUGGAUAACUAUUGGAUAUAAAUUGAAGUGUCCUUUUUACUCUUUAUCUAUUUUUGUCAAAUUAUAUAAUGAGGGCAUUGUGAUAAAUAAUUAUAAAACUUAUCGUUCCCUACCCUCUUACUAUCACAUCAUUCUAUUCUUUUCCACUCAACCAAACAACAUUUCCUUCCCUAGGAAUGUGUUAUCCGUUCUUCCUACACUUCUCCCAUCCAAUUUUCUAUCAGUACCGAACAAGCAGUAAAGAGAACAAUGGGAUAGGAGUUCAAUUCUUAUAAUUGGCUAAAAAUAAGCGAGAAGAAGAGCUUGAUCUUAGACCAUAACACAAUUAUGAAAUGCCCAAUUUCCACAUAUUUCUUCUUGGUAAGCGUUUUGAUAUGUACAACUAUAAUAUUAGUUUUAGCAUUUGUGAUAUAUACAUUUAUAUUAUAUUGCUAGAGUUACAUAUCUAAAUAGUCUUUAUUUAUGUGAAUGCAUAGUUAAAUUAUUCUACCUACUUAACUUUUACUUUUAGACGCGCAAUGUGAGCUAAUCAAGUGGCACAAAAUUGGUUUUUAGAAUUGCCAAUUAAUGGAACUCUUGAUGAAUAGUGUGGGCUUGGUUUAGCUGCAAGUUUCAAAAUUAAUAAACAAGCUCAACUCAACCUUUGUUUUCAGGGUCGUAGAGGAAACGAGCCGAGCAUGAGCAACACCUAGCUUUGCUCAUAUAUGCUUAUGAAUAUUGGCCAGAAUGUUUAUUUAGGAUAUUAUUGCAAGGAUGCUAGUCUAAUAAGGUUACUUAGGCUAAUUAAGUGAACAUUGGAGAUUGGGUCAAAUGGAGAAGAAUAUAUGAAGGGAUGACUCAAAUGUGAACCCAUCAAAUGCACACACAUCUUACUUCACAUAAAAUCAACACCAGCACACCAUCAUCUCUUUUAUUUAUUGAAUUGCUUUUUCCUUCUCAUUCUCUCUCUACUUUCCAUUUCCUUCCACAAUCUUUUGGUCCUCAAAAUAUGAUUCUGCAUUUACCUAUAUUAAAGUUGCUUUGACAUUCAUCUUUAAAUUUUAAGAUUCAAAACAGUUGAAGGGAUUGGGAACAAAAGAGAAAGUUCUAUGUAAUCUUGAUGGCAUGCUUGUAAGUACAUUAUUUUUAUAGGUACUGAGUUUUCAUAGUUAUUCUAAUGUUAAUAGUUAUUAUUUAUGAUAGUCAUUUCAGAACAAAGGUUUUUGGAUGUCAAAGGAUCCCGGAUGUUUAACUGAUGGCAAGAUAUCCUACGAAAAUUCCUCCAGAAUUGAGCCAAAGCACCCUCAUCAGUGGUUCAUGGAUGGUACUGAAGUAGAGCUAUUUCCCAAGAAGAAGGAAGCAGUUGAAGUUUCAAGCCACAAUUCAUUCUCUGGACUUCUAAAUUUAAAUGCCUGUCCUUGGGGAAAUGCUUCUGGUUUUCAUUCAGUUGUUGGUCAACAUGGUGAACGGUUAUUUGACCCUGAAACUGCAAGGACCAUCAACUUUGAUGACAUAAACAUUCCAUCAGUUGGCACAAGCAAUAUCAAUAUGGAAAAAAGGGAAUAAAGGAUUCAUUUGGGAGUGAUUCUUCAUUUGGUUUAUCUAUAUCUGAUACUCUGGAAGAUUCUAGAUCAGGAGGUAUUAAUUAUGGUGGGAUUGGAAAAGUUAAAGUCAGCCAAGUCUAGGACACUGAGAAUUUCAUGUCUAUGUCAAUGGGGAAUGCCUUUAGUGGAAGGGAUAACAAUACUAUGUCAAUUCCUCAAGCUUAUACCAAGGCUGCUGACAAUAUGAUAGCAAGUCUUUCUUUUAACAGGGGGGAUGACAAUGUCCUAUCAAUGGAUGGCACGUACAACACGGGUGAUAAUAAUUUCAUAUGAUGACAACACCAUAUUGAUGGGCCAUACAUUCAAUGAGAAAGAAAAUGACUUAUCAAUGGGUCUGUCUUUCAGCAAGGGUGAUGACAAUAUCACAACAUUGGGUCAAACUUUCUGCAAAUAUGACAGCAGUAUCACAACAAUGGAUCAAACCUUCAAUAAGAAUAUUGAUGGCUCCUACCUUUAGGGAGAACAAUAAUACUGUAUCAAUGGGUCAAUCUUUCAGCAAGGGUAAUAACUUGAUCACAUCAAUUGGUUGACAAUACCAUAUUGAUGGGUCACCCCUACAACAAAGUGGAUAAUACUACCAUAACAGUGGGCCACACCUUAAGCAAAAUUGAGAACAGUAAUUUAUCAAUGAGCCAUUCUUUCAGCUAGGGAGAGACUAAUAUCAUAUCCUUUGGUGGCUUUCAUGAUGAUGGUGAUAUAAAUUCUUUGGGACGGCUCAUAUGCAGUUACGAUAUGUUGAUGGGUCAGGCUUCAGCUCAAAAUCAGAAGCAUUAACUAAAGAAGGAUUGAUUAAAUCAAACAACUAUGCACAUUUAAGUGCUGCCCAGAUGACAGCCUCUGGAGCUGAACCUGUUUCUAAUGAGGAUGAGCAAAAAGGGGGCCAAGAAGGUUCCUCCAAACAAUUUCCCUUAAAAUGUCAGAUGUUUGCUGUCAACUGGUAUGCUAGAUGGUGUUCCUGUGAAGCAUAUUGCCUGGUCACAGGAGGUAAAUCUUACUUUCACGCAUUCCUCUUGCAAUCCCCUUAUCAUUUGGUGACACCUGUGGUUGUUCCUAUUUUUGGUAGAAGUCACAAAAGGUUCUAGUUAUCUGUGGGGCUGUCAAUCAUGUAAAUUUUCUAAGGUCAGUUUGGUAUUAAAUUCUUGGUUAUAUGAAGGGAAUUUUGAGCCUAUUCUGCUGACAUGAAGACCAAUUAUUGGUGUUAUAGGCAAUCAAUGCUUAUGAGUUUGAGCAUCAUGCUGGUUGCAAAACAAAACACCCAAAUAAUCAUAUAUAAUUUGAGAAUGGGAAGACUAUUUAUGGGAUUGUUCAGGAGCUCAGGAACACCCCUCAGAAUUUGUUAUUUGAGGUUAUCCAGACCAUAACUGGAUCUCCCAUUAACCAAAAAGCUUUCCGUCUUUGGAAAGAAUCAUUCCUAGCCGCUACUCAUGAACUUCAGCGUAUAUACGGAAAAGAUGAAGGAAAACAAUUGUCAUAAAGCUGCUGGUUCAAAUUCUAAGAUGGGUUGACGGUGAUGAUCUCAUGAUAAGAAUCUUUCUCUCCAUUGGUGCCUGCAUCCAUCGUUUGCUUAUCUUGUGUUGCUUGCUCAUCAAUUGAUGGGGAUGAGGACUUGUAAUCCUUGCUUUUUCCCCAGACAACAAGGUUUGGAUUACUGUGGCAAAUCAUUUUAGCCUUUGCAUAUUCAGCUGCUAGACUUGUGGUCUUGAGCUAAAAUAGAGUUGCAUCCGAGCCCAGGUCCUCGGUAAGCUUUGUUGACACAAAAUAACUUCGUAAUUUUUUUUUUU